GGAGUGGGGCGGCGUGCUAUACAUGCAGUCGAGCGCAGGAAGCAAGCAGAUCCCCUUCGGGGGUGACGCUUGUGGAAUGAGCGGCGGACGGGUGAGUAACACGUGGGCAACCUGCCUGUAAGACUGGGAUAACCCCGGGAAACCGGGGCUAAUACCGGAUAAUACUUUUCUUUUCAUAAAGGAAAGUUGAAAGGCGGUUUCGGCUGCCACUUACAGAUGGGCCCGCGGCGCAUUAGCUAGUUGGUGAGGUAACGGCUCACCAAGGCGACGAUGCGUAGCCGACCUGAGAGGGUGAUCGGCCACACUGGGACUGAGACACGGCCCAGACUCCUACGGGAGGCAGCAGUAGGGAAUCUUCCGCAAUGGACGAAAGUCUGACGGAGCAACGCCGCGUGAGUGAUGAAGGUUUUCGGAUCGUAAAACUCUGUUGUUAGGGAAGAACAAGUCGGGUAGUAACUGACCCGGCCUUGACGGUACCUAACCAGAAAGCCCCGGCUAACUACGUGCCAGCAGCCGCGGUAAUACGUAGGGGGCAAGCGUUGUCCGGAAUUAUUGGGCGUAAAGCGCUCGCAGGCGGUCCUUUAAGUCUGAUGUGAAAUCUCGCGGG
rnacentral:rRNA from 1 species